rnacentral:rRNA from 1 species
AACGAACGCUGGCGGCAUGCCUAACACAUGCAAGUCGAACGAGACCUUCGGGUCUAGUGGCGCACGGGUGUGUAACGCGUGGGAACCUGCCCUUAGGUUCGGAAUAACUCCCCGAAAGGGGUGCUAAUACCGGAUAAUGUCUUCGGACCAAAGAUUUAUCGCCUUUGGAUGGGCCCGCGUUGGUUUAGCUAGUUGGUAGGGUAAAAGCCUACCAAGGCGACGAUACAUAGCUGGUCUGAGAGGAUGAUCAGCCACACUGGGACUGAGACACGGCCCAGACUCCUACGGGAGGCAGCAGUGGGGAAUAUUGGACAACGGGCGAAAGCCUGAUCCAGCAAUGCCGGGUGAGUGAUGAAGGCCUUAGGGUUGUAAAGCUCUUUUACCCGGGAUGAUAAUGACAGUACCGGGAGAAUAAGCUCCGGCUAACUCCGUG